AUUGAACGCUGGCGGCAGGCCUAACACAUGCAAGUCGAGCGGAUGAAGGGAGCUUGCUCCUGGAUUCAGCGGCGGACGGGUGAGUAAUGCCUAGGAAUCUGCCUGGUAGUGGGGGAUAACGUCCGGAAACGGGCGCUAAUACCGCAUACGUCCUGAGGGAGAAAGUGGGGGAUCUUCGGACCUCACGCUAUCAGAUGAGCCUAGGUCGGAUUAGCUAGUUGGUGGGGUAAAGGCCUACCAAGGCGACGAUCCGUAACUGGUCUGAGAGGAUGAUCAGUCACACUGGAACUGAGACACGGUCCAUACUCCUACGAGAGGCAGCAGUGGGGAAUAUUGGACAAUGGGCGAAAGCCUGAUCCAGUCAUGCCGCGUGUGUGAAGAAGGUCUUCGGAUUGUAAAGCACUUUAAGUUGGGAGGAAGGGCAGUAAGUUAAUACCUUGCUGUUUUGACGUUACCAACAGAAUAAGCACCGGCUAACUUCGUG
rnacentral:rRNA from 1 species